GUUCGAUUUCUAGCUCAAAAAUGUGAGGUGUUACAUGCAGUUACUGCUAAAAAACUUGAGAUAGCCAUGUAUGCAAGAAAUGGACUAGGUAGAAGCCACAGUCGGAAGUUCAAGAAGAAUUCCACCCUGCAGUGUGAUUUCUGCAAACUCAAGGGGCAUACUAAGGAAAACUGUUGAAAGAUAAUUGGCUAUCCUCAAGAUUGCAAGGCUAAGAAGAAGUUC
rnacentral:lncRNA from 1 species